GUGUGUGUGUGUGUGUGUGUGUAAGUUUAUUUCUUCCAUGGGAGAGAUGGGAGGUGUGGGACAGGUACCCUUGUUAGUUGUUGCCACACCAUGAUCCACCCCUGCCACCCUUUGGGCCCACCAGGGUCACAGGUGCAUGCGUACACCCAGUAUGUUCAGUCGACUGAGAUCUGAACCCCAGUCUACCAUGCAGCUCCAGCAUUUCAGAGCGUCAUCCUGUAACCUGUGCCACCGUGACUGGACCCUUUUCCUUUUCUCUCCAUCAUUACUGGACUGUAAAAAGCUCAGUUCCAUGGAUGAGCUUCUGAGGCCCUGCAGGACUGUGUUUUUGAUGAAAUGGGGAUAGAGUGGGGUAACCAUUGAAGACAGUGCUUUUGAAACUGCCCAACAGAGGUCUUUCCGGACUGGCUGCUGAUAGAGGUGAUAUGUGGACAGGGAUCUCUCACUGCUCGCUUUCUCUUACGUAUUGGGCUGCUUCUGGUUGUGGCCAAAGAUAUUAAAGCCAUCGCAUUUAUGUGAGAUUUUCAGAACUUAUCUUUGGCACGUCUUGCUUCGCAGUUUAGUAUGGUCAUGUUUCCAUCCUUCAUGGCCAUUCUACUUGGCAUUUAUUAAACUUGGCGGAGUGCACCAGCCUGAAUUUAAUAAAAUCAUAGCAUUAUUUAACCACAGUUGGUCUAGAAUUGCCCUGCCUCUGAAACAUUAGCCUUGCUCAGAGUAAGCAUUUAGAGAUAAUUUCCCUAAUUAGGAAACAAAUAAUUUGAAAUUAGCUUCUUCUUCUUCUUUUUUUUUUUUUAAGAAUUUUUUUGCUAUAGGGUGCAUGCACUCACCAGAGAGACAGACAGUGAGAAAUCACCCACUGGGGGGAUGGCCACACUGCAGUCUCUUCUCUAGUGUCUUCUCAGGAUUUUGGGCACACAUGCACCCAUGCUCAAAAUUAGUUUGAAACCAAUGGGUCUGAGACAAAACUGCCAUUGGUGUUGCCACACCAAUGCUGGAGUCCAGCAACAUAAUCAUUAUGCCAUCUGCUGGUCCCAGUUUUUGAUUGUCAGUGGGCUUAUACUUGCCAGAGGAAAAGACAAAAAGAAAGCAUCCCUCAAUGAGGGAUGGUUAUGCUGUAAUCUCUUCUUCAUUUCUC